rnacentral:SRP_RNA from 1 species
GCCGGGCAUGGUGGUUCACGCCUGUAAUCCCAGCACUCUGGGAGGCCGAGAUGGGUGGAUCACCUGAGGUCAGGAGUUCAAGACCAGCCUGGCCAACAUGGUGAAACCCCAUCUCUA